CCCUUAGAUGUCCUGGGCCGCACGCGCGUUACACUGAUGCACUCAACGAGCUUAUAACCUUGGCCGAGAGGCCUGGGCAAUCUUGUUAACGUGCGUCGUGAUAGGGAUAGAUUAUUGAAAUUAUUAAUCUUGAACGAGGAAUUCCUAGUAAACGCAGAUCAUCAAUCUGCAUUGAUUACGUCCCUGCCCUUUGUACACACCGCCCGUCGCACCUACCGAUUGGAUGGUCCGGUGAAGCCUCGGGAUUGUGGUUCUUGCCGCUUUAUUGUGGCGUGACCGCGAGAACUUGUCUAAACCUUAUCAUCUAGAGGAAGGUGAAGUCGUAACA
rnacentral:rRNA from 1 species